GUGGGGUGAUCCCCAGGGACUUCCCUUUUAUUUUAUUUGAUUUGUUUUAUUGUCCCCUACAAGAAUAUAUAUGGUUUAGGGGUGGGGAUCUGGACCGUUUACAAGAUAAUAGCAUAUUCUCAAAUUGAACGGGGUGGGGGUGACCCCAAAGGACUUCCCUUUAAUUUCGUUUGAUUUGUUUUAUCGUCCCAUUCAAGAAUAUAUAUGGUUUAGGGGUGGGGAUCUGGACCGUUUACAAGAUAAUAGCAUAUUCUCAAAUUGAAGGGGGUGGGGAUGACACCCCAGGGACUCACCCUAUAUUUCAUGUGAUUUGUUUUAUUGUCCUACGAUCAUUUCUGAAGAUUGCGUGUGUUUAUCAUUUACAGUUUUCAAGUUAUAUUCAUUUGAAAAAUUUAGAAAAUAAAAUCCCAUAGGGUUCUAUAGUAAACCCCUCCCUCCUUUCUGCCCCCAAAAUACCACUAAAUAGACCCAAAUGCACAAACGAAAGAUUGAUGGCUCACCUAGACAUAUUAGUCUAACAUUCUAUGAAACCCUAAGUAAAUCUGACCAGCAGUUUUGGAGAAACGCUGCGGACAAGUUCAUUUUUAAAAGUGGCGGAAGAAAAAGAAGAAGAAAAAGAAGAAGAAUAAUAAAAAUAAUAAUAAACAAGAAGUAAUUGUAACAGGAUGCUGUUACGAAGUCUCCCAAACAAAGCUCCCAUAUUAAUUUGACUUGUUUAAUUGUCCCAUACAAGAAUAUAUAUGGUUUAGGGGUGGGGAUCUUGACCGUUUACAAGUUUUCAAACAAGAGGGGGUGGGGUGACCCCCUAGGGACUUCACUUUUAUUUCAUUUCAUUUAUUUUAUUGUCCCCUACAAGAAUAUAUAUGGUUUAGGGUGGGGAUCUGGACCGUUUACAAGAUAAUAGAACAUUCUCAAAUUGAGCGGGGUAGGGGUAACCCCCAUGGACUCUCCCUAUAUUUCAGUUGUUGUGUUUUAUUGUUCCAUACAAGAAUAUACAUGGUUUAGGGGUGGGGAUAUGGACCGUUUACAAGUUUUCAAACACGACGUGGUGGGAUGACCCCCUAGGGACUUCCUUUUGAUUUCUUUUUAUUAGUUUUAUUGUCCCCUACAAGAAUAUAUAUGGUUUAGGGGUGGGGAUCUGGACCGUUUACAAGAUAAUAGCACAUUCUCAAAUUGAAUGGGGUGGGGGUGACCCCCAGGGACUUCCCUUUAAUUUCAUUCGAUUUGUUUUAUUGUCCCCUACAAGAAUAUAUAUGGUUUAGGGGAGGGGAUCUGGACCGUUUACAAGAUAAUAGCACAUUCUCAAAUUGAACGGGGUGGGGGCGACCCCCAGGGACUUCUCCUUUAAUUCAUUAAAUUUGUUUU
rnacentral:lncRNA from 1 species